rnacentral:rRNA from 1 species
GGACGAACGCUGGCGGCGUGCUUAACACAUGCAAGUCGAACGGAAAGGCCCUGCUUUUGUGGGGUGCUCGAGUGGCGAACGGGUGAGUAACACGUGAGUAACCUGCCCUUGACUUUGGGAUAACUUCAGGAAACUGGGGCUAAUACCGGAUAGGAGCUCCUGCUGCAUGGUGGGGGUUGGAAAGUUUCGGCGGUUGGGGAUGGACUCGCGGCUUAUCAGCUUGUUGGUGGGGUAGUGGCUUACCAAGGCUUUGACGGGUAGCCGGCCUGAGAGGGUGACCGGCCACAUUGGGACUGAGAUACGGCCCAGACUCCCACGGGAGGCAGCAGUGGGGAAUAUUGCACAAUGGGCGGAAGCCUGAUGCAGCAACGCCGCGUGCGGGAUGACGGCCUUCGGGUUGUAAACCGCUUUCGCCUGUGACGAAGCGUGAGUGACGGUAAUGGGUAAAGAAGCACCGGCUAACUACGUG